rnacentral:rRNA from 1 species
CGUGUAGGCGGGUUAUUAAGUCAGAUGUGAAAUACCGAGGCUCAACUUCGGGGCUGCAUCUGAAACUAAUAAUCUUGAGUGCAGGAGAGGAAAGCGGAAUUCCAAGUGUAGCGGUGAAAUGCGUAGAUAUUUGGAGGAACACCAGUGGCGAAGGCGGCUUUCUGGACUGUAACUGACGCUGAGGCGCGAAAGCGUGGGGAGCAAACAGGAUUAGAUACCCUGGUAGUCCACGCCGUAAACGAUGGAUACUAGGUGUAGGAGGUAUCGACCCCUUCUGUGCCGGAGUUAACACAAUAAGUAUCCCACCUGGGGAGUACGGCCGCAAGGUUGAA